GCCUGGCUGGUUCAGCUGGAGGAGUGAGAGACUCUUGAUCUCAGGGUCAUGGGUUCGAGUCCCAUGUUGGGUG
rnacentral:tRNA from 1 species